GGGCCCGCACAAGCGGUGGAGCAUGUGGUUUAAUUCGAUGCAACGCGAAGAACCUUACCAGGGCUUGACAUACUGCGAAUCUUUUUGAAAGAAGAGAGUGCCUUCGGGAAUGCAGAUACAGGUGGUGCAUGGCUGUCGUCAGCUCGUGUCGUGAGAUGUUGGGUUAAGUCCCGCAACGAGCGCAACCCUUGUUUUUAGUUACCAAUUCGUUGGGUUUUCUAGAAAGACUGCCGGUGACAAACCGGAGGAAGGUGAGGAUGACGUCAAGUCAGCAUGCCCCUUAUGUCCUGGGCUACACACGUGCUACAAUGGUUAGGACAAAGAGUCGCGAGUUCGCAAGAACCAGCU
rnacentral:rRNA from 1 species